GUCUGAAUUUUAAAGGAGGACGAUGGUGGGACGCUUCUCUCUGCAUGUGAUACGGUCCCAUCACGGUGUAAACGGCUGCAAACCACCACCACCUCCACUCCCCUCCACUUCACUUCUUCCUCCUCCUCCUCUCCUCUCUCUCUUCCUACGUGUGUUUUUGUGAGUGUGUGUGCAGACGAAUCGGAGAGCAGGAGGAAGCACCAAGGACGUCCUUUUUUCUUUUUUCUUUUUUUUUUUUUUCCCGAGCCCCUGGAGCCGGAGAUGCAAGGGACGAGCAGUCAUUAGCCCGCGCCGCUGCCGCCUGCUGCAGGAGAACUUCGCUGGUGUUGCAGCCUGAUCCCCGCUCUGUGAUCCCCGCUCACUGAGGUGGACCGUAACCUGUCUGACGGAGAUCUGGAAACGCAGGAUUCUACUUUUGUGCAAAAAUUUAAUGUAACAUCGAUCAGACAAGGAAGACAAGGAACCCAAAGCCAUCAUCAUGAAUUUCGUUAUGAAACAAGCGUUGGGAGGGGCCACUAAAGACAUGGGCAAAAUGCUUGGAGGAGAGGAGGAGAAGGACCCUGAUGCUCAGAA